GAGUUUGAUCCUGGCUCAGCCUGAACGCUGGCGGCGUGGCUAAGACAUGCAAGUCGAACGGUGUAGCAAUACACAGUGGCGGACGGGUGAGUAAUGUAUCGCUAAUGUGCCCUUGAGCCAGGGAUAGCCAUCCGAAAGGGUGGGUAAUACCUGAUGAAAUAACUUUGUCGCAUGGCAGAGUUCUCAAAGCAGCAAUGCACUCUUGGAGCAGGCGAUAUCGUAUCAGCUAGUUGGUGAGGUAACGGCUCACCAAGGCGAUGACGCGUAGCUGGUCUGAGAGGACGGCCAGCCACAUCGGGACUGAGACACUGCCCGGACUCCUACGGGGGGCUGCAGUAGCGAAUCUUCCGCAAUGCACGAAAGUGUGACGGAGCGACGCCGCGUGGAGGAGAAGUCCUUCGGGAUGUAAACUCCUGUCAGGGGAAAGAAAGUUCUGAUCUACCCCAGAGGAA
rnacentral:rRNA from 1 species